GAGGAAAGUCCAAUACUUUUUAAGUAUAUAUGUUUAUUAAAUAAGCUUUAUAAAAAUAUAAGGAAUUUAACAGAAACUAAAAAUUAUUAAGAUUAUGUAAAAAUAAUGUAUAUAUAAUUAUGAACACGACCCCUAUACUUAGUUUUAAUUUAGAACUAUAAUUAAAAAAUAUAUAUAAAUAUUUUUAUUUACAGAAACCGGCUUAA
rnacentral:RNase_P_RNA from 2 species